ACGCACGCUGGCGGCGUGCUUAACCCAUGCAAGUCGCACGGAAAGGCCUCAGCUUGCUGGGGUACUCGAGUGGCGAACGGGUGAGUAACACGUGGGUGAUCUGCCUUGCACUCUGGGAUAAGCUUGGGAAACUGGGUCUAAUACCGGAUAUGAACUGCCUUUAGUGUGGUGGUUGGAAAGUUUUUUCGGUGCAAGAUGAGCUCGCGGCCUAUCAGCUUGUUGGUGGGGUAAUGGCCUACCAAGGCGUCGACGGGUAGCCGGCCUGAGAGGGUGUACGGCCACAUUGGGACUGAGAUACGGCCCAGACUCCUACGGGAGGCAGCAGUGGGGAAUAUUGCACAAUGGGCGGAAGCCUGAUGCAGCGACGCCGCGUGGGGGAGGACGGCCUUCGGGUUGUAAACUCCUUUCGACAGGGACGAAGCUUUUUGUGACGGUACCUGUAGAAGAAGCACCGGCUAACUACGUG
rnacentral:rRNA from 1 species